rnacentral:misc_RNA from 1 species
AACGCACAUUGCGCCCGGCAGUAAUCUGCCGGGCAUGCCUGUCCGAGCGUCAUUUCAACCCUCGAGCCGCUUUUACUAGUGGAUCGGUGUUGGGGCACUACCGGUAACACGCGUAGGCCCCGAAAUGAAGUGGCGGUCCCGCCGCGGCGCCCCCAUGCGUAGUAACGUCUAGUCUCGCAUCGGGUCCCGGCGGAGGCCUGCCGUCAAGCCUAUUUACUCCUGAAUAGGUUGACCUCGGAUCAGGUAGGAGUUACCCGCUGAACUUAA